GAUGAACGCUGGCGGCGUGCCUAAUACAUGCAAGUCGAGCGAACAGACGAGGAGCUUGCUCCUCUGACGUUAGCGGCGGACGGGUGAGUAACACGUGGAUAACCUACCUAUAAGACUGGGAUAACUUCGGGAAACCGGAGCUAAUACCGUAUAAUAUAUUGAACCGCAUGGUUCAAUAGUGAAAGACGGUUUUGCUGUCACUUAUAGAUGGAUCCGCGCCGCAUUAGCUAGUUGGUAAGGUACCGGCUUACCAAGGCAACGAUGCGUAGCCGACCUGAGAGGGUGAUCGGCCACACUGGAACUGAGACACGGUCCAGACUCCUACGGGAGGCAGCAGUAGGGAAUCUUCCGCAAUGGGCGAAAGCCUGACGGAGCAACGCCGCGUGAGUGAUGAAGGUCUUCGGAUCGUAAAACUCUGUUAUUAGGGAAGAACAAAUGUGUAAGUAACUAUGCACGUCUUGACGGUACCUAAUCAGAAAGCCACGGCUAACUACGUG
rnacentral:rRNA from 1 species